UACGUAGGGUGCAAGCGUUAAUCGGAAUUACUGGGCGUAAAGCGUGCGCAGGCGGCUAUGCAAGACAGAUGUGAAAUCCCCGGGCUCAACCUGGGAACUGCAUUUGUGACUGCAUGGCUAGAGUACGGCAGAGGGGGAUGGAAUUCCGCGUGUAGCAGUGAAAUGCGUAGAUAUGCGGAGGAACACCAAUGGCGAAGGCAAUCCCCUGGGCCUGUACUGACGCUCAUGCACGAAAGCGUGGGGAGCAAACAGG
rnacentral:rRNA from 1 species